CUGAUUCGAAACCUCGGCCUUUUUGUUACUGUUCUUUGGGUUUCCCUAACAUGACUCCCACUGCGUAAUUAGAGGAUUGUUUCGGGUGGGC
rnacentral:pre_miRNA from 1 species